CAACCCUCCUGUGACCUGGUGGGGACCAGCUGGCUACUGUAGACUGGGGGCUGGGGGCUGGAGGCUGGGGGAGUCAGGGAAGGCUCUAGAUCCCCUGGGUGCAGGGAGGGAGGCAGGGAGGCAGGGCCAAGCUGGCAGGCGCUGUUGGGGUUGGAGCUGAGUGUGUGUCAGCGGUCAGCUUCCGGUUUCUGCCGCAGGGAGAAUGGGCUGCCGCCCGGCUGUCUGUCAGGAAGACCAUGGGAGACAGGGGUGCCCAGCAGUGAAGCCGGCGAGGGUCCCCAGCACUUGCUGUGAAUGAGGGCAGGGAAGAGGGACUCACUCUAACUGGCGUUCAGAUUCUGCACCCAGGGCUACACAGUGUGCGUGCGUGUGUGCCCUUGUCCUGGGGGGCGGCUCCGCGGCAAGGCCGAACAGGAGGGGCAGAAGAAGAGAAGGUGGAAGUGGGCCUCUCUGGAAAGAUGUGGUUCCCGGGGCUCAGGACCCCCAGGUGGGAGAGGUGUAUCUGACUGGACACCAGCAGUGAAGAAGCCUCUGGAUGGCAGCCGGGAGAGGCUGGCAAGCUUGGCCUUGGCCACAGGGGUGGUCAGCUGUCUGGGAGCAGCUCCUUGGUGCUGGAAUGGAGAGGUCACCUUUUAUGUGAAAUCAGCCUUACUGCAGACAUCCUGCCCAGCAAAUACGCCGUAGAGAAAGAGGAUGGAAAUCACUGAAGAGCAGGACGGGAGAACCCUGCGAUGCUUUACUCGAAUGCCAAACAUCGCACUUACCUCAUUUGGUUUAAACAGAAGAAAUUGCUGAAUUUCGGGGAAAUAUUUUAUCACUACAAAGGAGACUGGCUCUGAAAGGAUCUCCCUAGACUGAAAGACAUGGACAUGAGAGCACCGGGGACAGCGGUCCCAUGUCUGCUGCCGUGGCAGAGGCCCACUGAGCCCUCGUGGCUGCGGGGCCGGGCACCCUCCCCAGCUUCUGCUUCCUGAGUGUGCAGCUCCAGGGGUCCUGACUGGGACACCUUCCCCGACGCAGAAUAGUCAGACAAGUGCGUCCGACGUCACCACCUGAACCACCGUGUGACCAUUGUGCAGACGGAGGCGACCGUCCCCAG
rnacentral:lncRNA from 1 species